AAAUGUUUGAUUUUGCAAUUAAUGUAUUCGUUGCAUGAAUGGUUAAUGGUUCCAUACCAAGGAUGACAUUUUCUCUCAUAUAUACUUCUAAAACACAUAUGUUCCUAGCUGACUUGGUGCUUUACUUUCAUUUGACUUUUAACAAUUUAAUGAUUUGAUUCUUUCGUGGAACAAACGAAAUACAAGAUGGCUGAAGCCUGUAGAACAUUGUAUUCGGUUUACUAUGUGGUUAUUUCAUUAAGAUUAUUGCGUCUCUUUUUGUUCCAAUAAUGUCAUUUUUGCUUCUCACUUUGUAACGAUUAUACCGCUGAUCAGUUUGUGUUGUGCUUCUUAGUAUCUUGCCAAUUCUACUUCUUGUUUCCAGAUGUAAUUACUUUUAAUAGCGCUUUAGUUCUACAAUCGACAGUUUCACAUCAUGCAAGGGCUGGGUUCAACCACUUGCAUGUUCGGUCAAAGGGCGCUGAUGUCUCAAAGCAGUAGUAUUGGUUUUUGAUGACCAAGUAGAAGGUUUUGUAUGUCAUGGGCUUGGCCGUGACGCCUUAGACCAGGCCGCAACGUCGAAUAUGUCGUCCAUGGCCUCUUACGCCACCGCCAUUUCUGCCUCGCACUGCAUCAACCCCCUCCUUCACCAGCCACCGAUCAAACCCGUGAUGCUAGCUUCCUUGGAUUCUUCCGGUUCAAGUUCCCCACCGAAUCAUCCACCACAUGGAGAUGACUGCUAUCACGGUCAGACCAAGGGCUAUGUUCAGUGCGAUUCUUAGCAAGAUUUGUUUGUCUGAUGCAAAGGACGCGCGUUGUAGGAACUACAACCAACGUGUGGGUGCAACUGUGGUUUUCUGGCUGUCCAUGUUGCACUUUUCCGCAAUGGCAGAACCCAGGAAGAUCCAAGACAAUCCAACUAGGGAUAUUUCAACAGUUUGAAAUAAGGAAUUGGAACUGCAGCAUCCUGAAAUACUUGACAAACUAUAGGAAGAAGCAUCAAGGACUUGCUCACCAUGAAACAACUCCACAAUAUCAUUGUCACAUGCUGUUUUAUUUGCUAUGAGCAUCGGAUCCUUGCGAUUGACCCAUACGAAGUGACUUUAGCAAAGCUUGCCCUUUACCCUACUAAAGAGUUAUUGUCUUUUUGUAAUAGGAGUUGUUCAUUUUUAUUGCUCAACAUACCACUUUUGAGACUAUAAGUGAUAAUGAUAGUGGUUGGUAAGUUGUAUCGAGUCUCGCCUUACCUGUCCACCCUAAAACGUGUUAUCAGCCAAUGUGUAAGUGUAUAUAUUGCAAUGUAAAGCUCGUUGUGGUGUAAGUAUAUACAUGCAAUAGCAGACUCAUUGUGGUUAUAGUCCUUAUUA